rnacentral:rRNA from 1 species
GGAUUAAUUUACUGGUCGUGCUAUUGUACGUACUGGUUUUAUUGAUUCCUCCCUUCUGACGAACUAUGAUGCCAUUAAUUUGGUGUCUUAGGGAAUCAGGACUGUUACUUUGAAAAAAUUAGAGUGUUUAAAGCAGGCAAGCGCUUGAAUACAUUAGCAUGGAAUAAUGAAAUAGGACGU